rnacentral:tRNA from 1 species
GAGAAGUUACCCAAAUAGGAAAAGGGAACUAUUUAUUAUCUUUUUUGUGGAUUAAUAAAUAACUUUUAUCAAGAGUUCGAAUCUCUUACUUCUCACCA